UACGGGGGGGGGUAAGCGUUGUUCGGAAUUACUGGGCGUAAAGGGCUCGUAGGCGGCCAACUAAGUCAGACGUGAAAUCCCUCAGCUUAACUGGGGAACUGCGUCUGAUACUGGAUGGCUUGGAUUCGGGAGAGGAAUGCGGAAUUCCAGGUGUAGCGGUGAAAUGCGUAGAUAGUCUGAGGAACACCGGUGGCGAAAGGCGGCCAUUCGUCG
rnacentral:rRNA from 1 species